CUAAAAAUAUUUUAUUGCUAAUUUAACUUUAUACAUAACACGUUAGCAUAUUUACAAUUCGUUUACCCGAAUAUAUGAGCAUCUUGUAUCAUCCGAUAAAAAAAACAGACGCGUUUUCGUUUUUGUACAAUAAUGAAUAUCCGCAGUCGUAGUUAUUGUUCGAUAAAAAAUAAAAAUAACAGGGAUUAAUAAUCGAUGGAUAUCGAUAACAUAAUAUUUUAACAAUUAACACGCGGUAAGAGACCUAGAGGCUAAUGUCGGGGCAAUCGAGCGCUAAAAAUAAAGGGACAUUCUCUAUCUAAAAAUACGACGCGGUAAAUGGCGCUUUUAACGUACCAGUACGCGUAGGGCGAGAUGAGGGGCGAAUAAAAGAAACGAGGAAGUUAAACCGAUACACGUUGUAUAAGUUUCGUGCAAAAGGGAACUUCGUACGGUCUUGCAAAGCAUAUAAUAAAACAAACAUUUUUCACGUGUAAACUCAACGCUGAACCCGACCCGUGGACAGAGAAUCGAGUUUCGCAGAAAAUUUUCGGAUCGAUUUGUUUGUCGAUAAGUACAUAAAAAAAGAGAGAAAAAAAAAGAAGUCAAGAAGACGUGUAUAUACAUAUAUAGUGUGCAUCGUUUGAAAAGAUUAAUCGAAACUCGAUUCGACGGACGUCUUUGCGACGAGUCCGCGUUUCUGCGUUGAGUUAUCAGUCUUGCGGCUCUCGAGAGAAAAAUUGUACAUUUACGACGCGCAGGCGUACCGUGUUUGACAUGCGUGCUUCCGUUAAUGAGGUACACACCGAUCGCGGCAGGGAAAAACUAGUUCGAGCGAGUCGCUUACAUUUGACUAAGAACGGAUACCCCUGGUGGUCGCGAUUCACGCCUCUUUUAUUCCGUUGCGCGUCCACACUUUGCAACAAAUAAUACAUACUACCGGCCGAUGGAACAGCAGAUCACCAUAAAUCUCUAACGAGCCAAACCAAUCGAACGUUCCGUGCUCUUUAUUCCCGAUAGUUAUGGCGCGAAACAUUGUUUUUCUUUUACUUUUAAGUUUCGGUUAAGAUUCGGAAUAUUUUGCGAACAGAAUCGAUCUGGUUUGGCUCCCGAGAGAUUGUAGGUUAGUUUCGGACGAACUCGAGUAGCAUUCGAUUCUCCGUUGAUAUUUUGGCACAUCACACGCUUAAUUUACGACUUUGUUAUGUAUCUUUCACCGCAACGCUCGUAUAUUCGUUUAUCGAUUGAAUUACCGAUGGUUUCGUUCCCAUCGACGAUCUAUUUUUAAAGGUAGCCGUAGAGCGACAGGCUUACAAAAGACGCUAGAGGGCGGCUGUGUAAUUUCAUCGAGUAUAUGUAUAUUAAUCUGAUACUGAUAGACUUCGAUCGAAACCACAGAACAAUGAUAUACCGGAUAUUGAAAUAAUUAAAAAAUGUCUUACGCAUACGUAAAAAUAGGAAGAUAGCUUGAUCGUAAACGAUACAAAUUAUUGUUUAUAAAUUCCUGACCAGUGAUUAUCAGUACCAGAGUCUAGGCCCACCUCUGCAACAUUCGAGACAACUUUUUCAAGCUCUACAGAACGAAAACGAUACAGCAUGCUUUUCUCGGUUCAUCGAACUCGUUGCAGUUUAUCCGUUACUAUUAACAUGUAUACAUAUGUGUAUAUAAUAUCGCGUUCAUUUCAUACGUACAUAGGGUGUCCUGUAAUACGCGGUAUAAUCGAAAAGGUGGCAAUUCUACGGCUCGAAACAAAUGUCGAAAUAGUUUCUUGGAACAGAUAUACAUUGCAUAUUUCUAUACAGAUUUUUGGACGUGGAAUCGCCUCCAUUGCGACUGUACCGGCGACUACAAUGAAACCCCGGCAUUAGUACAGAAACAGAUAGCGAGAAAAGCAUUAUUUCGCUCUAAAGGAUAUCGGCAAAGUCGUAUUACGCUUAGCUUAUCUCUAUCGAUUUAACGUUUGUUGUACCGUGAUCGAUAUUCUGCACGUACACGAGCAUAAAUACGUUUGGAAGAUCGAUUCUUCUCUUUAAUCCGAUCGUUCGUAAUAUUCUUCCGUGAUUCGCGAUUCGUUGAUUGGCAAACGAUCGUGUACAAUAUCUGGAGUUGAUCGAGUACAAGAUAUCGUACGAAAAGAACAGUGGUUUUGGUUCUUGAUCCCGAAGAUAAUCACGAUGACAGAAAGGGGGGCUUACAAGUAACGGUAACGGUAACGGUAACGAAUAAGUAGAUUGCUUUUACCCUUUUCGACAUAAAUAUAAUCAUCGAGUGUCUUUUUCGUAUAAAA